UAAAUUAAGGAUUUAAUAAAGUAUUAUUUGUAUUUAUAUCUAAAAGUUGGAAUAUAACGUAACUUUUGCAAGCAAAGAAAAUAAAUUUUAAAAAAUUCUCUUAAUUUAUAUGAGAAUAAUUCGUGGAAAAAUGGAAAAUUUAAGCGGCUGAUUAGAAGUCAAUAGCCGAGAGUGUUUUUGUUGUUGUUGUUGCUCGUCUUUAAUACUAUGCGUGUAGGUGCGCGAGUGUGUUUGUGCGGUUCUUUAAUAUAUUUUUUUGACAUUACGUUUUAAUAUCGGUUUCGGAGUAUGAGGAAACAAUAACAAAAAAUCGAUUUGUUUACAUGUGCUACGUUCCUUAUAACAAAAGGCAAAAAAUUGAAAAUUAAUGAAAAAAAAGUGAAGCUAAUUGAAAGAAAAACAAAAAAAUACCAGCAUAUAUGCUUUUAAAAUAAAUCUGGUAAAUACCUUUACACAAACCUGCCAAUGCUUUAAUAAACUAAUAAUAAACGACACAAAAAAAUUAUGUUUUGAAGCGUAUUGACAAAAACAACAAAUCAAACAAAGCCGGUUUCGCAAUAAACAACUGACGCCUUGCAGACGUCUACCGUUUUUCGUUUAAACGGUUUUGUCGUCGCUCGUGUUAAACGUAAAUAAAUCCUUAAGGGAGUUAAUAAAGAAACUAACGAAAAUAUUAAGAAAAUUAUAUAUUUAUUAAAAUUGUCUUCAAGCUCAGAGAUCAAUAAACUUUAUUGUCGAACCAAAGAAAAAAAAAAUUUAAAUCCCAGUGUCUUAAAUUAUGUGGGUGUAUCGUUUUUCUUCUUUCUAAGAUACUUUGUUAUCUUUGGUUUUCUUUAUUAUACGAAAACAAAACACACGAGACCGGUUCUCCUCCGCAUUUGGGGGUUUAGUGCAUUCAUCUACGGUUUGGGUUUCUUUAAGAAAUACUUGAAUGUCUUAUUGGAAUUAGAACAACAUCGUUCGUGUGUGUUCCGAAUAAAUGUAUUAAGUAUUAAUGCCUUGGACUACUUAACGUAUUAGUGUUGGAUUAAUGGUAUCUUUUGAUUGGUUUUCUCCUUUUCGACUAAAGCGGCUUAUUACCCUACAAGAUUAAGCCCUCGGCCAAUUCAAGCAAAGAAAAUUUAAGGGCGCUUUGAUAUCGAGUUCACAAUAUCUGCUUAUAGUUCUCUUAGCGGCGAUACACAACUGGACUCUGGCGCACAAAUGUCUUGAAUCCAUGCACUUAUUGAGCGAGGCUGCACUUUCAG